rnacentral:lncRNA from 1 species
CGAGGAAAUGGUGUCUGGAGGUCAGGUCUCUGGAGCAGCAGAAAACCAAAGAGAUGACUGGAAAGAAAUGUAACACCCCAAAGAAGAAGGGAGUAAUGGAGAGUUACCAGCUUGGAGUUCUGACUCAGUCUUUCUCCUCCAGCCAGCACAACCUUACCAGAAGAUGGUGUGACCACAGCAGUCUCCAGUGACGGGCAUUCUUAUGGUUCUGAUGAUGCAUCGACGUCGGAGGCUUGGAGACCAUAGCAUUGGUGGGAAUCAUUUUGGGAAUCGUGAUCGCCAUUGGUAUCAUUGCUGGAAUCGUCAUUGCAGUCGUGAGGAAAAUGUCGGGCAGGUACUCGUAAGUAAAAUACUUAUACACUGACAUGAUACAUGAAUGAUUAGUGUGGUUUUCAGAAGAGCCUUGAG